rnacentral:rRNA from 1 species
GGCGGACGGAUUAAUAAUGUUUGCCUACGUACCCUUCACUAUGGAAUAGUCCCGGGAAACUGGGUUUAAUACCAUAUACGCCCUUCGGGGGAAAGAAUUUCGGUGAGGGAUCGGCCCGCGUUAGAUUAGUUAGUUGGUGGGGUAAUGGCCUACCAAGACUACGAUCUAUAGCUGGUUUGAGAGGAUGAUCAGCAACACUGGGACUGAGACACGGCCCAGACUCCUACGGGAGGCAGCAGUGGGGAAUCUUAGACAAUGGGGGCAACCCUGAUCUAGCGAUGCCGCGUGAGUGAUGAAGGCCUUAGGGUCGUAAAGCUCUUUCGCCUGUGAUGAUAAUGACAGUAGCAGGUAAAGAAACCCCGGCUAACUCCGUGCCAGCAGCCGCGGUAAUACGGAGGGGGUUAGCGUUGUUCGGAAUUACUGGGCGUAAAGCGCACGUAGGCGGAUUAGUCAGUCAGAGGUGAAAUCCCAGGGCUCAACCCUGGAACUGCCUUUGAUACUGCUAGUCUUGAGUUCGAGAGAGGUAAGUGGAAUUCCGAGUGUAGAGGUGAAAUUCGUAGAUAUUCGGAGGAACACCAGUGGCGAAGGCGGCUUACUGGCUCGAUACUGACGCUGAGGUGCGAAAGUGUGGGGAGCAAACAGGAUUAGAUACCCUGGUAGUCCACACCGUAAACGAUGAAUGCCACUCAUCUGGUAGUAUACUAUUCGGUGACACACCUAACGGAUUAAGCAUUCCGCCUGGGGAUUACGGUCACAGGAUUAAAAC